CCUACGGGUGGCUGCAGUGAGGAAUAUUGGUCAAUGGACGAGAGUCUGAACCAGCCAAGUAGCGUGAAGGAUGACUGCCCUAUGGGUUGUAAACUUCUUUUAUAUGGGAAUAAAAUGUUCCACGUGUGGGAUUUUGUAUGUACCAUCUGAAUAAGGAUCGGCUAACUCCGUGCCAGCAGCCGCGGUAAUACGGAGGAUCCGAGCGUUAUCCGGAUUUAUUGGGUGUAAAGGGAGCGUAGGUGGAUUGUUAAGUCAGUUGUGAAAGUUUGCGGCUCAACCGUAAAAUUGCAGUUGAAACUGGCAGUCUUGAGUACAGUAGAGGUGGGCGGAAUUCGUGGUGUAGCGGUGAAAUGCUUAGAUAUCACGAAGAACUCCGAUGGCGAAGGCAGUUCACUGGACUGCAACUGACACUGAGGCUCGAAAGUGUGGGUAUCAAACAGGAUUAGAUACCCGGGUAGUC
rnacentral:rRNA from 1 species